GCCUUCGUGGUGUAAUGGUCAGCACACUGAGCCGGUAAUUCAGAGGUCCGCGGUUCGAUCCCCGGCGAAGGCG
rfam:Stegodyphus mimosarum contig105274, whole genome shotgun sequence.